GAUGAACGCUGGCGGUAUGCCUAACACAUGCAAGUCGUACGAGAGUUUUUAACUCUAGUGGCGGACGGGUGAGUAACACGUGAGAAUUUGCCUUUAGGAGGGGGACAACAAUCGGAAACGAAAUGCUAAUACCCCACUAUGCUUUCGUAGUGAAAUAGGAUUUUAUUCCGCCUAGAGAGAAGCUCGCGGCUGAUUAGCUUGUUGGUAAGGUAAGAGCUUACCAAGGCGACGAUCAGUAUCUGGUUUGAGAGGACGAUCAGACACACUGGAACUGAGACACGGUCCAGACUCCUACGGGAGGCAGCAGUGGGGGAAUUUUCCGUCAAUGGGCGAAAGCCUGACGGAGCAAUACCGCGUGAGGGAAG
rnacentral:rRNA from 1 species